rnacentral:rRNA from 1 species
GGAUGCGAUCAUACCAGCACUAAAGCCGGAUCCCAUCAGAACUCCGAAAAAGUUAAGCGUGCUUGGGUGAGAGUAGUACUAGGAAGGGUGACCUCCUGGGAAGUCCUCGUGUUGCAUUCC